AACGUAGGUGGCGAGCGUUAUCCGGAUUCAUUGGGUGUAAAGAGCUUGUAGGUGGUCUGGUAAGUUGGACGUGAAAACUCCGGGCUUAACUUGGAGAGGCCGUUCAAUACUGCGGGACUGGAGGAUGUCAGAGGGGAGUGGAAUUCCUGGUGUAGCAGUGAAAUGCGUAGAUAUCAGGAGGAACACCCGUGGCGAAGGCGGCUCCCUGGGGCAUCCCUGACACUGAGAAGCGAAAGCUAGGGGAGCAAACGGG
rnacentral:rRNA from 1 species